GGGGAAUAUUGGACAAUGGGCGCAAGCCUGAUCCAGCCAUGCCGCGUGUGUGAUGAAGGCCUUAGGGUUGUAAAGCACUUUCACCGAUGAAGAUAAUGACGGUAGUCGGAGAAGAAGCCCCGGCUAACUUCGUGCCAGCGGCCGCGGUAAUACGAAGGGGGCUAGCGUUGUUCGGAAUUACUGGGCGUAAAGCGCACGUAGGCGGAUUGGUCAGUUAGGGGUGAAAUCCCAGGGCUCAACCCUGGAACUGCCUUUAAUACUGCCGGUCUGGAGUUCGAGAGAGGUGAGUGGAAUUCCGAGUGUAGAGGUGAAAUUCGUAGAUAUUCGGAGGAACACCAGUGGCGAAGGCGGCUCACUGGCUCGAUACUGACGCUGAGGUGCGAAAGCGUGGGGAGCAAAC
rnacentral:rRNA from 1 species